CCAAGCAGAAUGCACUUAAAGUUUGACACCCCGAAACUAAGCGAGCUACUCUAAAACAGCCUACAGAGCUAACUCAUCCCUGUUGCAAAAAGGUGAGAAGAUUUUAAAGUAGAGGUGACACACCUAACGAGCCUAGAGAUAGCUGGUUAUUCAAAAGACGGAUUUAAGUCCAACUUUAAGUUUUCUUAGUCCCACUAAAUAAUUCAAAAACUUAAAAGCCAUUCAAAUAAGGUACAGCCUAUUUGAAUAAGGAAACAACCUAUAACAUAGGGUAAUGACUACUAGCGUGACCAAGUAGGCCUAAAAGCAGCCAUCUUCUAAAAAGCGUCCAAGCUUCCCCACCAAACAUUUCUAAUAUCACUAUUAAUCCUCAACCCACAACCACUACUGAAUGAUCCCAUAACUAUAUGGAAGACACAAUGCUAGAACUAGUAACAAGAAGACGAACUUCUCCAAAAUGCAAAUAUAGGCCAAAAUAAACCUCUUGCCGGCACUUAUCGCUAUAACCACAGUAUACUUCUACAAGAAAGCUCUACUAAAUCMAGCGCUAGCCUUACACCAGAGCAUUACUGGAAAGAUUAAAAGAGAGAGAAGGAACUCGGC
rnacentral:rRNA from 1 species